UUACAAGUAGUCAGAGCCCGUUAAUGGGUGAUGGCGUGCCUUUUGUAGAAUGAACCGGCGAGUUACGAUUUGAUGCAAGGUUAAGCAGUAAAUGUGGAGCCGUAGCGAAAGCGAGUCUGAAUAGGGCGUUUAGUAUUUGGUCGUAGACCCGAAACCAGGUGAUCUACCCUUGGUCAGGUUGAAGUUCAGGUAACACUGAAUGGAGGACCGAACCGACUUACGUUGAAAAGUGAGCGGAUGAACUGAGGGUAGCGGAGAAAUUCCAAUCGAACCUGGAGAUAGCUGGUUCUCUCCGAAAUAGCUUUAGGGCUAGCCUCAAGUGAUGAUUAUUGGAGGUAGAGCACUGUUUGGACGAGGGGCCCCUCUCGGGUUACCGAAUUCAGACAAACUCCGAAUGCCAAUUAAUUUAACUUGGGAGUCAGAACAUGGGUGAUAAGGUCCGUGUUCGAAAGGGAAACAGCCCAGACCACCAGCUAAGGUCCCAAAAUAUAUGUUAAGUGGAAAAGGAUGUGGCGUUGCCCAGACAACUAGGAUGUUGGCUUAGAAGCAGCCAUCAUUUAAAGAGUGCGUAAUAGCUCACUAGUCGAGUGACACUGCGCCGAAAAUGUACCGGGGCUAAACAUAUUACCGAAGCUGUGGAUUGUCCUUUGGACAAUGGUAGGAGAGCGUUCUAAGGGCGUUGAAGCAUGAUCGUAAGGACAUGUGGAGCGCUUAGAAGUGAGAAUGCCGGUGUGAGUAGCGAAAGACGGGUGAGAAUCCCGUCCACCGAUUGACUAAGGUUUCCAGAGGAAGGCUCGUCCGCUCUGGGUUAGUCGGGUCCUAAGCUGAGGCCGACAGGCGUAGGCGAUGGAUAACAGGUUGAUAUUCCUGUACCACCUAUAAUCGUUUUAAUCGAUGGGGGGACGCAGUAG
rnacentral:rRNA from 2 species